CGCUUCUGGCGCGGUGGGAGAUACAGAAAAUGGACAUACCUUUUAUUCUGUGAGAUUUUUGGCUAGCAGAGGUGGGAGGUAGGUAAUGUUUCACCGGAUUUAUGGCGUUGUGUUUUCGACUAACAUGAGAGCUUCUCGUGCUAAUAACGUGUUGUAAAAUUGAUGGUGGGUGCAGUGGAAUAAAUAAACAAGACACAAAAUUUACGAGGUUCCUCUAUAGUCAGUGUGACUGGAGU
rnacentral:lncRNA from 1 species